CCUGGUGGCUCAGAGGGUAAAGCGUCUGCCUGCAAUGUAGGAGACCUGGGUUCGAUCCCUGGGUCAGGA
rnacentral:tRNA from 1 species